rnacentral:rRNA from 1 species
GACGAACGCUGGCGGCGUGCCUAAUACAUGCAAGUAGAACGCUGAAGGAGGAGCUUGCUUCUCUGGAUGAGUUGCGAACGGGUGAGUAACGCGUAGGUAACCUGCCUGGUAGCGGGGGAUAACUAUUGGAAACGAUAGCUAAUACCGCAUAAUAGUAGAUGUCGCAUGACAUUUGCUUAAAAGGUGCAAUUGCAUCACUACCAGAUGGACCUGCGUUGUAUUAGCUAGUUGGUGAGGUAACGGCUCACCAAGGCAACGAUACAUAGCCGACCUGAGAGGGGGAUCGGCCACACUGGGACUGAGACACGGCCCAGACUCCUACGGGAGGCAGCAGUAGGGAAUCUUCGGCAAUAGACGGAAGUCUGACCGAGCAACGCCGCGUGAGUGAAGAAGGUUGUCGGAUCGUAAAGCUCUGUUGUAAGAGAAGAACGAGUGUGAGAGUGGAAAGUUCACACUGUGACGGUAUCUUACCAGAAAGGGACGGCUAACUACGUG